CCUACGGGAGGCAGCAGUAAGGAAUAUUGGUCAAUGGACGCAAGUCUGAACCAGCCAUGCCGCGUGGAGGAUUAAGGCCCUCUGGGUUGUAAACUCCUUUUAUCUGGGAAGAACUCCACGUUUUCUAAUGUGGUUGACGGUACCAGAGGAAUAAGCACCGGCUAACUCCGUGCCAGCAGCCGCGGUAAUACGGAGGGUGCAAGCGUUAUCCGGAUUUACUGGGUUUAAAGGGUGCGUAGGUGGGCUUGUAAGUCAGUGGUGAAAUCUCCGGGCUUAACCCGGAAACUGCCAUUGAUACUAUAGGUCUUGAAUUAUCUGGAGGUAAGCGGAAUAUGUCAUGUAGCGGUGAAAUGCUUAGAUAUGACAUAGAACACCAAUUGCGAAGGCAGCUUACUACGGAUAUAUUGACACUGAGGCACGAAAGCGUGGGGAUCAAACAGGAUUAGAUACCCUGGUAGUCCACGCCCUAAACGAUGGAUACUCGACAUCAGCAAUACACUGUUGGUGUCUGAGCGAAAGCAUUAAGUAUCCCACCUGGGAAGUACGAUCGCAAGAUUGAAACUCAAAGGAAUUGACGG
rnacentral:rRNA from 1 species